AAGGUCGCAUUAGCAGCAUGCAUCCUUUAAAGAAUGCGUAACAGCUCAUUUAUUGAGUUUUAAGCACCGAAGAUGUAAUGAAACUUAAUUAAAAUACCGAAAAAAUAAACUUUUUAUAAGUGGUAGCAGAACGUUUUGUAUGUUGAUGAAGUAAAGCUAAAAAGUUUUAUGGAGAUAUCAAAAGUGAAUAUAUUGGCAUGAGUAGUUAUAAAUAAAGUAAAUGCAAAAACUUUAUGGCCGUAAACCCAAGGUUAAAAUGACACUGUUAAUCAAUCAUUGAAAAGUCGAUCCCUAAGGUCAAAGUGAAUACUGUAGCCGAUGGGUAAAUUAUAUUUGACUGAUUUCAUUAAAAUUAUUUUGUUUAUUAAUAAUAAUAAUAUGAUUUUAAUAAGUUACAAGAAAAAAAAUAUAAUAAAAAAAUCGUUCUAAAACCAACACAGGUGGGUAGGUGUGAAUGCACUAAGGCGCUGGAAUAAUUAUAUUGAAGGAACUCGGCAAAAUGACCCUGUAACUUCGGGAUAAAGGGGACUUUUUAUGAAAAUAAAAAGUGGCACAGAAUUUAAGAGUGGCGACUGUUUAGUAAAAACACAGGUCUCUGCUAAAUCGUGAGAUGAUGUAUAGGGACUGACGCCUGUCCGGUGCGGUAAUGUUAAAAGGAAAGGUUAAUGCUUUGAAUUGAUGCACCCGUAAACGACUGCUGUAACUCUGACGGUACUAAGGUAGCGAAAUGCCUUGCCAGGUAAUUUCUGGCUUGCAUGAAUGGCGUAACGACUGCUCUACUGUCUCCAGUAUAAUUCCAAUGAAAUUGAAUUCUCCGUGAAGAUGCGGAGUAAUUGUAGAAAGACGAAAAGACCCUAUGAACCUUUACUAUAUGGUUAUAUUGUUUUUAGAAAAUAAAUGCGUAGGAUAGGUGGGAGUAAAUGAAGAAAAAAUUCUGGUUUUUUUGGAUACAUCCUUGAAAUACCACCCUUUUAUUUUUCUUAGACUAACUUUAAAUAGCCAAUCUAUUUAAAGAACAGUGUAUCCUUGGUAGUUUGAGUGGGGCGCUCUUCUCAUAAAGAGUAACUGAGAAGUACAUAAGGUAAGUUCAAAAUAAUAUUUGUAUUAUUUUUUGAGUGUAAUGGCAAAAACUUGCUUAACUGUAAGACAGACAUGUCGAGCAGGAACAUUUUGUUGGUCAUAGUGAUCCGGUAGUUGUGAAAGGAAUAACUAUCGCUCAACGGAUAAAAGGUACUCUAGGGAUAACAGGCUAAUGGUUCUUGAGAGCUCGUAUUGACGGGACCGUUUGGCACCUCGAUGUCGACUCGUUUCAUCCUGGAGGUGUAGCAGCUUCCAAGGGUUUGGUUGUUCGCCAAUUAAAGAAGUACGUGAGUUGGGUUUAGAACGUCGUGAGACAGUUUGGUUUCUAUCUUCUAUAAUCGUUUUGAAAAUUGAAAAAAGUCUAAAAUAGUACGAAAGGACCUUUUAGAAUAAACCAAUGGUGUAUCAGUUGUUUUUAUAAAAAGCAUUGCUGAGUAGCUACGUUUAUACGGGAUAAUUGCUGAAAACAUCAUGCAAGAAGCCUCUUUUAAGAUAAAUUUUCUAACAAACAUAAAAGACUAUUAUGUUUUAGCUU
rnacentral:rRNA from 1 species